rnacentral:rRNA from 1 species
UACGUAGGGUGCAAGCGUUAAUCGGAAUUACUGGGCGUAAAGCGUGCGCAGGCGGUUUUGUAAGUCUGAUGUGAAAUCCCCGGGCUCAACCUGGGAAUUGCAUUGGAGACUGCAAGGCUAGAAUCUGGCAGAGGGGGGUAGAAUUCCACGUGUAGCAGUGAAAUGCGUAGAGAUGUGGAGGAACACCGAUGGCGAAGGCAGCCCCCUGGCUCAAGAUUGACGCUCAUGCACGAAAGCGUGGGG